rnacentral:rRNA from 1 species
AUUGAACGCUGGCGGCAGGCUUAACACAUGCAAGUCGAACGAGUGGCGGACGGGUGAGUAAUGCUUGGGAAUCUGGCUUAUGGAGGGGGAUAACGACGGGAAACUGUCGCUAAUACCGCGUACCAUAGGAUGAGCCCAAGGGGGAGUAGGUAGUUGGUGGGGUAAUGGCCUACCAAGCCGACGAUCUCUAGCUGGUCUGAAAGGAUGACCAGCCACACCGGGACUGAGACACGGCCCGGACUCCUACGGGAGGCAGCAGUGGGGAAUAUUGCGCAAUGGGGGCAACCUGAUCCAGCCAUGCCGCGUGUCUGAAGAAGGCCUUCGGGUUGUAAAGGACUUUUGUCAGGGAAGCGGUACCUGAAGAAUAAGCACCGGCUAACUACGUGCCAGCAGCCGCGGUAAUAC